GACGAACGCUGGCGGCGUGCCUAAUACAUGCAAGUCGAACGCAGUGGGGACGGGUGAGUAACACGUGGGUAACCUCCCAUCAGAGGGGAUAACACUUGGAAACAGGUGCUAAACCGCUACUGUUGGAUGGACCCGCGUUGCAUUAGCUAGUUGGUGAGGUAACGGCUCACCAAGGCCACGAUGCAUAGCAAACCUGAUGGGAUGAUCGCCAACACUGGGACUGAGACACGGCCCAGACUCCUACGGGAGGCAGCAGUAGGGAAUCUUCGGCAAUGUACGAAAGUCUGACCGAGCAACGCCGCUUGUGUGAAGAAGGUUUGCGGAGCGGAAAACUCUGUUGUUGGGGAUGCGGUAUCUAACCAGAAAGCAACGGCUAACUACGGGCCAGCAGCCGCGGUAAUAC
rnacentral:rRNA from 1 species